GCCCAAGAGAUCGGGAUAACACCUGGAAACAGAUGCUAAUACCGGAUAACAACAGAUGAUGCCUAUCAACUGUUUAAAAGAUGGUUCUGCUAUCACUCUUGGAUGGACCUGCGGUGCAUUAGCUAGUUGGUAGGGUAACGGCCUACCAAGGCGAUGAUGCAUAGCCUAGUUGAGAGACUGAUCGGCCACAUUGGGACUGAGACACGGCCCAAACUCCUACGGGAGGCAGCAGCC
rnacentral:rRNA from 1 species